AGAGAAAUAGAAGAGGAGAAGAGAAGAAAGAGAGGAAAGACAAAGAGGAGAAAGAGAGAGGGGAAGGACGACAUACCUUAGAGAGAGCUGUUGUGUGUGAGAGAGAGAUAGAGGAGCUAUUGCUGGCUGAGGAGCUCACUUCUUUUGGCAUGACAACAUAGGUACUGCUUAGGGUUUUUUAUUUUUUGUUUUGUUAAAAUAUAAUUAAAAAAGAACAAAAGAAAAAAGAGUA
rnacentral:misc_RNA from 1 species